rnacentral:misc_RNA from 1 species
AAUAGAUUUAAUGCCACCAUAGCUUGCGUGCAAGUAGUAACUGAAUACUUGCAUCUGCGAAGCAUUUGCUCAAUAAUUCGGAGGCAAACAACGUCGUCAUCAACUACAAGGACUCUUAACCCUACUGGAAAGUGAUCAGUGACAACCGUAGCUUCCGACUUACACGUGGCAACUUCGCCACUCAUACUUACCAUUGAAGACCACAAAAACGACAAAAAGAAAAACCCCGCACACACUUUCACCGAUAGCUAAAAUUACAGAAAUGACACUGG